AUUCCUAAUUAUACUGUUAAUUUCUUAAAUAAAUAAAUACACAUAAGUGUAACAGUAUCAACAUAGUACAUGUCGAAGUUCGCAAGGUUUAAGAACAAAAAUAACAAGGAGAAGGAAAGUAAAAGCGAAACACAAAGAUUACAACAUCAAUAAAGUACAGAUAGAAAGCUAUAGAUCCCAACAAUGACCAGAACCAAAGGAACAUCAGGACGGAGCCGCAUGGAGAUGCCUGCAACCUUCCCAUUAAACUGGCCUGAGCUAGGACCAGGGGCCUCUGUUUCUGGAGCAGGAGAUGCAGCAGUAUCGAAUGUACGGUCUUUGGUCGGAGAAGGGAAAAACGAGGACAUAUCCGGUGCAUUGCUAUACGGUAAGACAGCAGGAGAAGCUAAGAUUGUGGGUUCACUGCAAACCAGAGUCCAUUGAACCGACAAAACGAUCAAGAGAAACACAGAAACUGAGAAGCUAGACGACAGAGCCAUGGGUGUUUCUUUUUCUUUUCCUUCUGUUCUGCAGAGAAGAAAGAUACUUCUUCCAAGUGAUUAUAAAGAACAAAACAGAGAAAAGACAGAUUAUUUUGUUCCCAUGUGUGUAUGUGCGUGUCUUACUAAGAAACAAAGAAGUGAAUGAAUGUCUUCACGGACUACAUUAUGGGUCCGUAACUGUUUUCACAUGCCUGUUUUGUUUCUACCUCUUAAGUCAUGUGAUUGCAUUUACCUCUUCUCACUUCCACCACCUAAGGGUAAUAAGUAAUGUGCUAAUCAUUCAUAAUAUAAGAUUCUUUUUACCUUUGGUUUAAUAAGAAUUACAUAAAAUAUUCUUUUAGAAAGCUUGCAAAUGAAAUGAAUCAAACAAAACAAAGAUGGGCUAUAAAGACAACAAAAAUUAACGAUUUAAUCCCUUUUUUCUUUCUCAAAAACAAACAAUAUAAGAGGCUCGUGACAGUAGCAUGUAAUCCGCAAAGCUUGUUGAUAUUCUUCUGCAGACUCAAAUGGCGUGUGAAUGUCUUGACAAUAAUGAUGCUACAACAGUCUGAGAUGAGCGGUAUCAUUCAACCGCUUAACCUGCCACCCGGUUUUCCACGAAUGUUGCAACACGGUCACGGAGGAAUCCUCCACACAGAUCUUAUGCGUCAUUACCGAGCUGCAUCCGAGUACACCGGUCAGAAGACACUUAAUAGGUAACGAAUGUGUGAAAACUCCAAUGCAGGUCGAGAGCUGAGAAGAGGAACUCUUGCUGUUUACAUCACCAAGCUGUUGUUCAUCGUUCUGAUGAUUAAACAUCUCUUCACUACCCGUCGUGUUCAUCACCUGAAACCUGCUCUUCCCAGACUUCUUCCUCGUCAAACUUGGACGAUGAAUAGACGUAGCUAGCGAGUGAGGAUUACUACUCUGUGACAACCCUACUCGAGCAUUGUUGUGAUGUGUAGACCUAAGUCCGUUGAGAAACUGAACCAUCCGAAACUCAACUUGUCUGAGUGACUCACCUGACGGAGGUGAGAAGUCAGGUUGGCUUCUCUCUAUCAAACUCAGAGUCUCGGGCGUGUAGAUCUCUGAUCUGUGGAAGCCUUCCCAUUCUCCUAGACUCAUCUCAACGAUAGCGUCUGAGGACUGUACAUGCUCCUCCGGAAAAUUCAUCUCCUACAUAGAAGCAUCAAACGCAGCGUUUAAUCAAGAAUCAGUUACAAAUCAACAUUUCGUCUUCUUCAACGAUCCUAAACACUCUAUGAAGAGUAUCAAAGGCAAUGAUUCAUCUAUAACACAGCCUUAAGAUCUGAAGUGAGAUUACCUGGCAAACGGAAACGGCCAUGGAUCUAGCACGAUCCAGAGGCGAAGCGAAGACGGAGGCGAACCGAACGCCUUCGGAGUUCAAAAACACGGCGAGAGCCCUCGCCUGGCGUUUCCCGUUGGGGGUGAGAGCUGCCACGUGGCACCUCCCUCCGAUCAGAUCGGGCCUUAGGUCGAGAUCGCACUCUCCGUGGCUGAUUAGAUAAACCUCCGUGACGGCAGCGGCGCGAUCGUGCUCCACCGCGGAGGAGGAGACACCGGAGAAGAGAGGAGGAGGUGGGGCGAGGAGGACGUUGUAAGGGUCCCAGACUUUGAUCGAAGGUCCUAUUCGAGGCGUGCCGAGGGAAGAGAGCUGAGGAGAGAGAGGGGAGGCGGACGCGUGGCAGGGAAGCAUCUCGGGCUCUUGCUCGAGGACUUUCUUCACCAAAAGACUGUCCAGCUCGGUCCUUCUUCUGUUCAGUCCGCCGUUAGCAUCUUCUUCUUCUUCGAUUUCUGGUUCAUCUUCUUCGUCGUCUUCUUCUUCAUCGAGUAGCUGUGAAGACUGUGAUGAACCCAUCUCUUUGUUCAACGUGCUCGGAAAGUGAGAAAAGUUGCGGGGGCGAGGUUAAACCGGUAGAGUAAUGCUGCUUCCAGCGAAUAACAUUUUCAGAUCUUGAUGAGCUGUAAACCUCCAGAUUAAUUAGAAGGUUUUGAAUCUCACUGGUACGGCCCAAACGUAGCAAUAAAUAUUGGGCCUACCUGUCUAAAAUAUUCAAAAUCUUGGCCCUCAAGUAACACAUUUCUUUUCCAUAAUGAUUAGGCAUUAUAACCAUAGACUAACUCUAGGGUUUAAAAUGAAUUUGUGUCAGCACUAGUAAAUAUAGUCAAUUGACCUUGUUGGUGUAUUUUACCUACAAUAUUUUUAACAGUGACUUAAUCAUUCUUAACUUAAAGAAUUUACGCUAGCUUUCAAAAGUCCAAAAAUAUAUUUUAAAUUAAUAUGAUCUCAAAUAUAAUUUAUACUAAUAAAAUGGACCUUUUGAAGCUUCGUAGGCGUCCACGUCAGCGGAAAAAACUUAUUCUAAAAGAUGACACGUGGCAUUAACAAAAAAAAAAAAAAUACAUAUAAAGAAAAAUAAAUAAUAAGUAAAUAUAUAAUAUAAGAAAUAGAAAUGUUCAACGUACGUUGUACACCGUUUUCUUUUAGAUCCGUGAUUUUGAACAUAGCGUUGAAGCACAAGAGACUCGUAAACAAGAGCUAGAAAAGUUGGUUCAGGACCAGGAAAGUUUGAGAACCUCUCUUUUGCAAUGGUGCUACACCAGCUAUGGAGAGGUACACAUAGCUAUACUCUGUUAACAUCAUCUUAGAAAUCAAAUACCCGAAUCUGUUUUGAUCGUUUGGUCUAUAUAUGUAGGUUUUCAGCUCCUGGAUGCAUUUCUGUGCUGUGCGCAUAUUCGCUGAGAGCAUAAUGAGAUAUGGUUUACCUCCUGCGUUCUUGGUAAGUUAUGACUCCAAGCUAUGCUUUUUCAAGUGAAUCCCUCAACCCUGUUAACUCCCUGACCAAACUACUUCCUCUUUUCAUGACUUAUUUUCCAGGCAUGCGUCUUAUCUCCGGCUGUGAAGAGUGAAAAGAAAGUACGCUCCAUUCUUGAACGCUUGUGUGAUUCUACCAACAGGUAUGCUUUAUCGCUCUAGACAUAGGCUACAUGUAAGAAGUAGAAUGUUUGAGUCUGAUUGUAUGAAAAAACAAUGCAGUUUAUACUGGAAAAGCGAGGAGGAUGGAGGAGCUGCCAUGGCUGGUUUAGCCGGUGACUCGGAGACACAUCCUUAUGUCUCCUUCACGAUCAACCUUGCUUGAAAUUGAUGAGAGAUUGGUUUGAUGCUUCUUCUCCAUCUGUUAUGUUUGUUUGUGUUCUAUAUAUUUCAUUUUUUAUUUUUCGUAAUAUAUUUUGAAAAUAAAAGAAGGAAAUAUUAAGGUGGCACUCAAGAUACUGUAAUUUUAUUUUGGCCGGAGUCUUUUUAGAUUCCGAUGAGUUUCUGAUACUUGUGGAGGAGAGAAGAGGUUAUACAGUUGGUACCUUCUCAAAUAAUAAUAUUUUCUUAUUUCACUGUAACGUUUUAUGUAUUUAAGCUACUUUUCAUCAGUCAGAGCAAUUCAAAUUUGUUCGUUUUUACAAAAAAAACAAAUCUGACCGACUCAAUUUUUGUUCAUACUUUUUUCUCUUCGUAAAGUUGAGCUAUCCAUCCGCAGAAGUCACAUGGUUUGGAUGACACUAAAGUACUACUAACACAUCUGACUUCUGUAGGUAUAUUCCUAAUUAUACUGUUAAUUUCUUAAAUAAAUAAAUACACAUAAGUGUAACAGUAUCAACAUAGUACAUGUCGAAGUUCGCAAGGUUUAAGAACAAAAAUAACAAGGAGAAGGAAAGUAAAAGCGAAACACAAAGAUUACAACAUCAAUAAAGUACAGAUAGAAAGCUAUAGAUCCCAACAAUGACCAGAACCAAAGGAACAUCAGGACGGAGCCGCAUGGAGAUGCCUGCAACCUUCCCAUUAAACUGGCCUGAGCUAGGACCAGGGGCCUCUGUUUCUGGAGCAGGAGAUGCAGCAGU
rnacentral:lncRNA from 1 species